rnacentral:rRNA from 1 species
CCUACGGGAGGCAGCAGUGAGGAAUAUUGGUCAAUGGUCGGGAGACUGAACCAGCCAAGCCGCGUGAGGGAGGAAGGUACAGAGUAUCGUAAACCUCUUUUGUCAGGGAACAAAGACUGGGACGCGUCCCCGGAUGAGUGUACCUGAAGAAAAAGCAUCGGCUAACUCCGUGCCAGCAGCCGCGGUAAUACGGAGGAUGCGAGCGUUAUCCGGAUUUAUUGGGGUUAAAGGGUGCGCAGGCGGUCUGUUAAGUCAACGGUCAAAGCCCGGGGCACAACCCCGGCCCGCCGUUGAAACUGGCAGUCGCGAGUUGGAGAGAGGUAUGCGGAAUGCGCGGUGUAGCGGUGAAAUGCAUAGAUAUCGCGCAGAACUCCGAUUGCGAAGGAAGCAUGCCGGCUCCACACUGACGCUGAGGCACGAAAGCGUGGGUAUCGAACAGGAUUAGAUACCCGGGUAGUC